CACUAACCACUCGCUCAACACCAACCUUUGCAGUGUUUUGGCUAUUCAAAGAAGUGUGACAGCUGCCUAUCAUCCCCAAACCAAUGGGAAUCCAGAGGACUUCUGUGGGGUGUGCUCCUUUGCCGAAGAAAAUGCAGAUGGGAGCAUGAUUGAAAAGGUGCAUUGUGGAUUGUGCAGUAGGCGGGCACAUUUUGAGUGUGCCCAAUAUGCCCAUGAAAAUAAGGCUGUAUAUAUUUGCAAGAAAUGCC
rnacentral:lncRNA from 1 species